ACCGGACUGAAGCCGCGUGUAAUCAGUGUCACCUCUCUCCGGCUCUGAUUGCUUUUUGUUUUGUUUUGUUUUGUUGUGUUUGUUUAGCUUUCUCUUGUCGGAUUCGGCGACAAAGGAGUAAAGUUGACAAAACAGACUCAAGAUCCAUUUAAAGACUCCAAUCUUUCAAACUUGGAAAAGUGGAUAUAUGGAAGUACACGGAAACGCCUGGGGCUGAUCGAAAUACGUCUGACUUGCAUGAGAAGAGGAAAAAAAAAAAAGAUCUGACAUUCUUCGAGGUGUUGUGUUUUCACUUUCUUUUGCUUGCACAAAAACUUAGCCACUAUUCAACAAGAAAGUUUGUUUUCCCUAAUAAAUGCUGCUAAAAGAGAGCAACCUGAACAUAUAUUCCUGAAGUUCUUGAAGUUCAGGAGGUUCCUGGAGUUCCUGCUCUCCCUCUCAGAGAAGAGAAAAGGUUUCUAAAGGACUUUUCUCAUCAGUUCAUUUGCUCACUCCAUAUGUAUAUAUGAAAGAGAGAUAAGAGAGGUUGUUUUGGAUGCAGAGAUGAGUUCUGGCUGGUACUCAGGACCUUCACACACGUUCCUAUUAUGGAUGUGGCUCCUGCAUGGGCUUUCGGGUGUGUCAGCAAAGAGACACACGGUCUACUGGAACUCCACCAACACCAGGUUAACAAGUGAUGACUACUCAGUCCAGGUCAAUCUGAACGACUACCUGGACAUCCUGUGCCCUCACUAUUCAUCCAGGUCCCCUGAGCAAGGCCCUCCGGAGUAUCUGGCGCUCUAUCUGGUAGCCGAGCACCAGUUUCGGGGCUGCCACGAGACCGAAGGCGCCAUAAAGAGGUGGGAGUGCAACUCUCCAUACGCUCCCUACGGCCCUGUCCGGUUCUCUGAGAAGAUCCAGCGCUUCACACCUUUCUCUCUGGGCUUCGAGUUCCUCCCUGGACACCACUAUUACUACAGCUCCCUGUCUGUGGAUGAUAAACCCCCCCUUCCAUGCAUGAAGCUCAAAGUCACUGUGUGCUGUGAGUCCAGUCUCUCCAUGGUCCUCCAGAACGCUUAAUCUUCUCCCAUCGCUUUCUUGCUUUCCUGCCAUCUUUUUCGGGAUGCGACCUUUAAAGGAAGCGGGGAUGUAUUUUGGGGUUGCACAGCCGUUCGUAAUUUUUCAUGACAUUUCUGUUAAAUGAAAAUAAAGAAAAAGGAACUACAGCUCCUCUUAGUUUUGCCCGACGUGAAGGAACCAGUCCCCUGUCAAUCCUCGCUCUCGCAGUCUUUUCCCUCUUUUGUUUUUUAUGAUAAUUGGACGAAUCGACCCGGCUAAUAGCAAAGACUUGCCAACAGGUCAUAUGAGGAUCCUUCUCUGUCUGUUGUUAAGCGCACGUUCAAACACACACACAUUCACACACUCACUCGGCUGUUUCAGCUCUUUCAGCUCACUUGCCUUACUGUCAUGUAUUUGGAGUGGCACUAAUCUCUCGCCCUCCAUUUCCUCUCUGUCUCUCUGUCCACUCUGCACCGCUUCAUUCUACCAGCGACUGGCACUAAUCUACCUUCAAAGAACUCUUCCUGCUGCUCUUCUUUUUUGCGUAAUCCUUUCUUCAUUUAACACACACACACACAUACACAGCCCCCUUUCCCCUCCAUCUACGGUCUUACUGUACACUACUGAACUGAGGCAAAGGGGAGGAGAUGUAGAGAGCGGAGUGGACGUCCCUGUAGCACCUGUGCUGCUAAGAAAAACUAAAAGUGCAAGGACACAGCGCAAGCAAUAAAGCUUUCGGCUCAUUCAUCAGCGCUCAGGAUCAAGGGACGAGACUUUAUUUUGCCAACGGACAAACUGGAGCCAAAGCAAGACAUCGUUAUAUUCGAGAUAAAACAUUUAACAAACCUGUAUCUGAGUAGCAAAGACAAAGCGUGUCCUUUUUUUUUUUUCAUUAUUUAGAACGCAGUUAAGAAGAAGAGAAGCAAACGAACUAAAUAUGUAUAGGAGCAACAGGAAGAGGAUUUUACUGCUUCCUGGUCAGGGUCACGAGGGGCACGCUGUUCUUAUUUCAGCAACGUUGAACGCAAUUGGGCAGUUGUUUUCACACCGCCAGUAACACCUGAGACGGUUGGUCGGCUCUUCGCAAUACACUUCAGAUAUAAGAUGACUGGACAACUUCCUGAGCUCGUAAUUAUGUUCUCUUAUUUUCAGUGGGUUUAGAUUUUUUUUUAUGUUCUGUCUACAAGAGAUUUGUAUGUAUGUACCGGCACCCAAUUCACUUAUUAUUAAGAAUCAAGUUCAGUGUGUUUUUUAGAAUACAAAACUACUCAUGGUUUCAAAGAAGAAUCUUUUUUUUGUUGUUGUUUUUUAUUCAUUACAAAGUGAAUCAGGAACAUGCUGUAAGAAGUUUUACAGAAAUAAUACUAAGUUUACACCUGCAGUGAAUUUAUUUGAAAUGUUUUUUUUUUGUUAUUUUUUUUUUUAUUAUUGAAAAUGAAAAACAACCCUAUUUAAAUUUCAUUUGAUAAAAAUUAGUUUUAAAGUUAAUUUUUUUUUUAUAUUGUGCAAAAAGAAAACAAAUUGACUUUGGUUAUUUAAAAAGAAAUUACACUUUAUAUGAAAUGCUGAUCAGUUUUGUAAAAAAAAAAAAAAAAGUACUAAAUUAAGGGUGCAAGUGUACUACUUUGGGGAAAAAGAAAAAAAAAAUUCAUAUAUAUCCAAAUCACACGUGUCAAUUUACACAGAAAUAUGACGUGCUGGAUUGAUCACGAUUUUCUUUAUCGUGAUAAUAGUUUGUGUUUUUCACAUUUUAGUGAAGCGGAAAGGUGUCUUCUGUGAAGAAUGGUGGGUUUUUGUAAUGUGAAAAAAAAAAAAUCCUGGUCACGUUCAUGUUCGAGUAAAAAACGGCUGAGACAGAUUCGGCUCGAUGUGAUGUGAGAGUCAAAUGAUCAACAUGAUUUACACAAUAGUUUAUUUGCUUAAGCAGUGCAACAUAAGAAUGACAUUUACAUAUGUUAAUGUAUUUGGUAUCAAGGGUGGAAUUGUAUUGCUAUUACUGAGAUAAUAAUACAAAUGCGAAAAACUUCUCCUUUUUUUUUAAAAUAAAAUUUCUUUAUAAAAUGUA